rnacentral:rRNA from 1 species
UACGUAGGGUGCAAGCGUUGUUCGGAAUUAUUGGGCGUAAAGAGCUCGUAGGCGGUUUGUUGCGUCGGCUGUGAAAACCUGCGGCUUAACUGUGGGCUUGCAGUCGAUACGGGCAGACUUGAGUUCGGCAGGGGAGACUGGAAUUCCUGGUGUAGCGGUGAAAUGCGCAGAUAUCAGGAGGAACACCGGUGGCGAAGGCGGGUCUCUGGGCCGAUACUGACGCUGAGGAGCGAAAGCGUGGGGAGCGAACAGG